rnacentral:rRNA from 1 species
UUUUAUAUGAGAGUUUGAUCCUGGCUCAGGAUGAACGCCGGCGGUGUGCCUAAUACAUGCAAGUCGAACGCGUUGGCCCAACUGAUUGGACGUGCUUGCACGGACUUGACGUUGGUUUACCAGCGAGUGGCGGACGGGUGAGUAACACGUAGGUAACCUGCCCCAAAGCGGGGGAUAACAUUUGGAA